rnacentral:rRNA from 1 species
UGCAAGUCGAACGAUGAACCAGGAGCUUGCUCCUGGGGAUUAGUGGCGAACGGGUGAGUAACACGUGAGCAAUCUGCCCUUCACUCUGGGAUAACCUCCGGAAACGGAAGCUAAUACCGGAUAUGACGCACGGAGGCAUCUCCUGUGCGUGGAAAGAAUUUCGGUGAAGGAUGAGCUCGCGGCCUAUCAGGUAGUUGGUGAGGUAACGGCUCACCAAGCCUACGACGGGUAGCCGGCCUGAGAGGGUGACCGGCCACACUGGGACUGAGACACGGCCCAGACUCCUACGGGAGGCAGCAGUGGGGAAUAUUGCACAAUGGGCGCAAGCCUGAUGCAGCAACGCCGCGUGAGGGACGACGGCCUUCGGGUUGUAAACCUCUUUUAGUAGGGAAGAAGCGAAAGUGACGGUACCUGCAGAAAAAGCACCGGCUAACUACGUGCCAGCAGCCGCGGUAAUACGUAGGGUGCAAGCGUUGUCCGGAAUUAUUGGGCGUAAAGAGCUCGUAGGCGGUUUGUCGCGUCUGCUGUGAAAACCCGAGGCUCAACCUCGGGCCUGCAGUGGGUACGGGCAGACUAGAGUGCGGUAGGGGAGAAUGGAAUUCCUGGUGUAGCGGUGGAAUGCGCAGAUAUCAGGAGGAACACCGAUGGCGAAGGCAGUUCUCUGGGCCGUAACUGACGCUGAGGAGCGAAAGCGUGGGGAGCGAACAGGAUUAGAUACCCUGGUAGUCCACGCCGUAAACGUUGGGCGCUAGAUGUGGGGACCAUUCCACGGUUUCCGUGUCGCAGCUAACGCAUUAAGCGCCCCGCCUGGGGAGUACGGCCGCAAGGCUAAAACUCAAAGGAAUUGACGGGGGCCCG